UUCUUAAUGCAAGGGAAAGUUGGUGGCUAUGCAUCAGUCUUUGAGAAGUACCACGAGAAGAGGGUGCAAAUGGCCAUGAAGAUUGCAGCAAUAGCAGAUGGUUGGUACCAAAUCAAUCCUAGCUUUUUGGCUUUUCGAAACAAUAUAUUGUCAAGAUGCAAAAAAUAGUUAUCAAGGUGCAAAUGACUUGCGACAAUGGAGAACCAAGGGCAUGAAGAUUG